UACAGAGGUCUCAAGCGUUGUCCGGAUUCAUUGGGCGUAAAGAGCGUGUAGGCGGCCAGGUAGGUCGGUUGUGAAAACUGGAGGCUCAACCUUCAGAGGUCGACCGAAACCAUCUGGCUAGAGUCCGGGAGAGGAGAGUGGAAUUCCUGGUGUAGCGGUGAAAUGCGCAGAUAUCAGGAGGAACACCGAUGGCGAAGGCAGGUCUCUGGGCUGACACUGACGCUCAUGCACGAAAGCGUGGGGAGCAAACAGG
rnacentral:rRNA from 1 species